AAUUAUCGCUUCUAGAAAUAUGUAAAGAUCGCUCUGGACUGUUUAUUCUUUAUUUUUUACCUUAGAUGUCUCGCAUUGGAUCAUCUGGGAUUUCAAUGUGUAACAAUUUUGUUCGAUUGAGGCUGUGGAGAAGCAGCUUUCUCAACAAAUGGGGAAAUGGCUGCCUGAAAAUAAACCCAACACUAGAGACUGGGAUUAUGGAUUUUUGGCAAGAAGACCACAGAGGUAUCACAUCAUAACAAGGACACAUUACUUAUCACUCAUGAUGCUCGCCUUGAUGAUCUGAUCGAGGUGGAAUUUGCCUGCUUACUCCACGCAAAUAAAAAUACAGUGAGAAGAGGCCACUGAAAUAUGGAAAAGAAGGUAAAUAACAACAUGACCUGUGAAGUGGAUGUAUAAGAUGAAAGGAAUACAACAUGUGACCAGAAAAUAGUACAGAAGAAACCAGGAAGAUAUAAAGUAAAGCAAGAACUUACGUUUGAUGAACGUCUUCAUCCUUACUUUAAAUAGUAGAUU